rnacentral:rRNA from 1 species
CCUACGGGAGGCAGCAGUGAGGAAUAUUGGUCAAUGGCCGGAAGGCUGAACCAGCCAUGCCGCGUGAAGGUCAGUGCCCUAUGGGUUGUAAACUUCUUUUAUAUGGGAAUAAAAUGUUCCACGUGUGGGAUUUUGUAUGUACCAUAUGAAUAAGGAUCGGCUACCUCCGUGCCAGCAGCCGCGGUAAUACGGAGGAUCCGAGCGUUAUCCGGAUUUUUUGGGUGUAAAGGGAGCGUAGGUGGAUUGUUAAGUCGGUUGUGAAAGUUUGCGGCUCAACCGUAAAAUUGCAGUUGAAACUGGCAGUCUCGAGUACAGUAGAGGUGAGCGGAAUUCGUGGUGUAGCGGUGAAAUGCUUAGAUAUCACGAAGAACUCCGAUUGCGAAGGCAGUUCACUGGACUGCAACUGACACUGAGGCUCGAAAGUGUGGGUAUCAAACAGGAUUAGAUACCCCAGUAGUC